ACCAAAGUAGCAGACGUAUCGAC
rnacentral:miRNA from 1 species